rnacentral:rRNA from 1 species
AGAGUUUGAUCAUGGCUCAGGAUGAACGCUAGCGGCAGGCUUAACACAUGCAAGUCGAGGGGUAUAGAGAGCUUGCUUUCUAGAGACCGGUGCACGGGUGCGUAACGCGUAUGCAAUCUACCUUUAUCAGAGGGAUAGCCCAGAGAAAUUUGGAUUAAUACCUCAUAGUAUAGCGACAUCGCAUGAUGAUGCUAUUAAAGUCACAACGGAUAGAGAUGAGCAUGCGUCCCAUUAGCUUGUUGGUAAGGUAACGGCUUACCAAGGCAACGAUGGGUAGGGGUCCUGAGAGGGAGAUCCCCCACACUGGUACUGAGACACGGACCAGACUCCUACGGGAGGCAGCAGUGAGGAAUAUUGGUCAAUGGGCGCAAGCCUGAACCAGCCAUGCCGCGUGCAGGAUGACGGUCCUAUGGAUUGUAAACUGCUUUUGCACAGGAAGAAACACUACCUCGUGAGGUAGCUGACGGUACUGGAGAAUAAGAU